UGGGGGAUAUUGCACAAUGGGCGAACGCCUGAUGCAGCGACGCCGCGUUGGGGAUGAAGGCCUUCGGGUUGUAAACUUCUUUUUCUCUGAACAAGGCAUGCUCAUGGGUGUGGCGCGUGCAGGGGUUGAUUAGCGCCGGCUAACUACGUGCCAGCAGCCGCGGUAAUACGUAGGGCGCGAGCGUUGUCCGGUAUUAUUGGGCGUAAAGGGGUUCUAGGUGGCUGGUUGCGUCUGUCGUCAACGCCCAUGGCUUAACAGUGGGGUUGCGGUGGGUACGGGCUGGCUUGAGUGGAGUGGGGGAGGCUGGAAUUCCUGGUGUAGCGGUGGUAUGCGCAGAUAUCAGGAGGAAUACCGGUGGCGAGGGCGGGUCUCUGGGCUGUUACUAUCACUGAGGAGCGAAAGAAUGGGGAGCGAACAGG
rnacentral:rRNA from 1 species